GAUGAACGCUAGCGGGAGGCCUAACACAUGCAAGCCGAGCGGUAGAGUUUCUUCGGAAACUUGAGAGCGGCGCACGGGUGCGUAACACGUGUGCAACCUACCUUUAUCUGGGGGAUAGCCUUUCGAAAGGAAGAUUAAUACCCCAUAAUAUAAUGAUUGGCAUCAAUUAUUAUUGAAAACUCCGGUGGAUAGAGAUGGGCACGCGCAAGAUUAGAUAGUUGGUGAGGUAACGGCUCACCAAGUCAAUGAUCUUUAGGGGUCCUGAGAGGGAGAUCCCCCACACUGGUACUGAGACACGGACCAGACUCCUACGGGAGGCAGCAGUGAGGAAUAUUGGACGAUGGGUGAGGGCCUAAUCCAGCCAUCCCGCGUGAAGGAUGACGGUCCUAUGGAUUGUAAACUUCUUUUGUACAGGGAUAAACCUACCCUCGUGAGGGUAGCUGAAGGUACUGUACGAAUAAGCACCGGCUAACUCCGUG
rnacentral:rRNA from 1 species